AAUAUUGGACAAUGGGGGCAACCCUGAUCCAGCCAUGCCGCGUGUGUGAAGAAGGUCUUCGGAUUGUAAAGCACUUUAAGUUGGGAGGAAGGGCUUUAGGUUAAUACCCUGAAGUUUUGACGUUACCAACAGAAUAAGCACCGGCUAACUCUGUGCCAGCAGCCGCGGUAAUACAGAGGGUGCAAGCGUUAAUCGGACUUACUGGGGGUAAAGCGCGCGUAGGUGGUGGAGUAAAAUGGGUGUGAAAACACCGGGCUUAACCUGGGAACUGCUUUCAUAACUGCUGAGCUAGAGUAAGGUAGAGGGUAGUGGAAUUUCCUGUGUGGCGGUGAAAUGCGUAGAUAUAGGAAAGAACACCAGUGGCGAAGGCGACUACCUGGACUGAUACUGACACUGAGGUGCGAAAGCGUGGGGAGCAAACA
rnacentral:rRNA from 1 species